GAUGAAGAACGUAGCGAAAUGCGAUACUUGGUGUGAAUUGCAGAAUCCCGUGAACCAUCGAGUCUUUGAACGCAAGUUGCGCCCGAAGCCACUAGGCCGAGGGCACGCCUGCCUGGGCGUCACACGCCGUUGCCCCCCCAUCUACUCCUUCGGGAUUGCGGGGGGGCGGAUGAUGGCCUCCCGUGCGCCUAGCCGCGCGGUUGGCAUAAAUACCAAGUCCUCGGCGACGCACGCCACGACAAUCGGUGGUUGCGAAACCUCGGUUGCCCGUCGUGUGCGUUCGUCGCGCAUCGAGGGCUCGAAAAAAUGCUCGGCUCCGGCUGGGCUUUCAACGCGACCCCAGGUCAGGCGGGGUUACCCGCUGAAUUUAAGCACAUCAAUAAGCGGAGGA
rnacentral:misc_RNA from 1 species